CCGGUUCCGGUUCACCCCGCGCACAUCACCACGGGGACCCGGCGCC
rnacentral:ncRNA from 1 species